AAACCAUGUGAUGAAUUUGGAUUCUCAAUCUCACGACGGUCGUCUGAGUUUAACGUUGAUGUAAUGAUCCGAUAUUUCUGAUGGUU